GAGGGUAUAGCCAAGUGAUAAAGCAUGUGCCUAGCAUGCACAAGGUCCUGGGUUCAGUCCACAGUACCUCCA
rnacentral:tRNA from 1 species